ensembl:lncRNA
CUGACUUUGCUCCAAAAUAAGAAAGAACUGCUACUCACAGAGGGAAACUAGCAUGGAUUUUACUUUCUGGAACCAUGAUAUGCCUGAAGCAGCAACACAGUGGCAAUUCCAGAGGGGUAGGAGCUCUGCUACCAUGCAAUGACACUGUAAUUACAAAAUAAGGGAAAAUUAGAAGUAGUACAAGUGUGCAGAACUAGCUCUGGUUGUGAGUUGUCAAAGAAAGCAAUGUAGCUGAUCUCAAAGGAACAUGGAAAGGCAAUGACACAAAGACAACUUUGUAGCAGACUGCUGCACCUGUUGCUUGCUUGCCACCUUAGAAGUCAGAGACCUCACACUGGGACCAAUUAAAACAGAACAAGUUAAUAACUUACAGAUCUCAAGAGAACACAGCACCUUAACAUUCUUGCUUUAAGUUACAAAUGAGGCUUUUUAACAUCUCACAGGACAUGCACAGCCCCAUCGCAGAAUGCUACAGUCACUUACAGCAAGAUGGCUUCAAGGAGCUCAGGCUGACCAGAGGCAUUAGAAACAAAAUGGUGGUCACUGACUGAAGAAGGCAUCUGGAAAACGUGCCAGCGAGCUGCAGCUGAGGAGAAGGAGCAGAGCACAGCUGCCUCUGCCAGGUGAUGGGAGAACCUUUCUUGCUCACCAGUGAGUGUGAAAACAAAUUCAUAUUCAGGCAGCUCCUCGCCUCCUGAGGAAACAUCAAUCCUCCCGGCACACAGGGAGGGAAGUUAGAUUUUAAGACUAUCCUUAGCAUAUUCCCCCCAUGAGGCACACUGUCCACGAUCCCUCUGGCAUUUCCACAAAAAACAAGUCACACAAAAUAUCUGGCAAGCCACGUCAGUCCAUCGACCCCAAGCAAUUCUUUCAAUGUACAGAGGGGAAAAGCACAAACCUCACACGCUUUUCUGCGAUUUACUCUGUACUUUAUAGCGCCUGGGCGGCAGAAAGGGAGACAGAGCUUUUCCCGCCUUGCGGCUGCAGCCUCACGUGCGCCCCUCAGGAGGAGUCGGGCUUUCCCUCAGAGCGACUGAACACGUGCAGGGCCUGAGAAGGCGGGUGUGCCCUCACAACGCCCGGUUAGCUGAACUUCUGUCAGAAAGCCCCCUAGUGCACCACUUAGAGUUAUUCUUGGGAAGAAUGGGAAGCAGACAUUAACAUCUUGUACCUCUGAGGCAUUUAGGUGUGCUGAGCUUGAUAAAGAGGAGAUCCUGUUUGGCGGGUACUUUGCUGCUACAAUUUCUGAAAGCCAUGGGAAUGAGGGAGGGCAUUGGAAUUUUGUAUAUAAAGCAUCCAGGCUUGAAAGUG